rnacentral:rRNA from 1 species
UAGGGAAUCUUCCGCAAUGGACGCAAGUCUGACGGAGCAACGCCGCGUGAGUGAAGAAGGAUUUCGGUUCGUAAAACUCUGUUGUUAGAGAAGAACAGCGCAUAGAGUAACUGUUAUGCGUGUGACGGUAUCUAACCAGAAAGCCACGGCUAACUACGUGCCAGCAGCCGCGGUAAUACGUAGGUGGCAAGCGUUAUCCGGAAUUAUUGGGCGUAAAGCGCGCGUAGGCGGUUUUUUAAGUCUGAUGUGAAAGCCCACGGCUCAACCGUGGAGGGUCAGUGGAAACUGGAAAACUUGAGUGCAGAAGAGGAAAGUGGAAUUCCAUGUGUAGCGGUGAAAUGCGCAGAGAUAUGGAGGAACACCAGUGGCGAAGGCGACUUUCUGGUCUGUAACUGACGCUGAUGUGCGAAAGCGUGGGGAUCAAACAGG